GAGCCCCUCGCCCUCUGCAUCAAUAUGGAGUUCCCAGGCUAGGGGUUCAAUUGGACCUGUAGCUACUGGCCUAGCCAAAGCAACACAGGAUCUGAGCCGUGUCUGCGACCUACACCACAACUCAUGGCAACGCUGGAUCUUUAACCGACUGAGCAAGGCCAGGGAUUGAACCUGCAUCCUCAUGGAUGCUAGUCAGAUUUGUUAACCACUGAGCCACUACAGAAACUCCCUUUUAAUUACUUUUGAUACACAUCAGUGUCAGGAGGGCACUCUGAUGGUAAACGGGUAUGUGGCUUUCCAAGAAAGAUAGGAGAUGGCUAGAAAUAAGGGAGCAAGGGAAAAAAGAGGGACCAGCCUCAUCAGCUUCCUAAAGCCCUUUCUCAAAGCUGUCACUGCAUUUCUCUCCUCCUGCCCCUCCCCUCCCCCUUCCUUGUUCUUUCUCAAUCUCUCUCUCUCUCUCCAUAGUUAGACCCUGCUUUGUUUGUUUUGUUUUGUUUUGUUUUUAAAUCACAGGCAAUUAAUUAGCCAGUGUAAUUAACAUAACUCAAAAAUAACCUCUUGCUAUUUCAAUUGUAUAAAUUUUGUUAAACCACUUGUUAUAAAAUUCUGUAUUCCUCUUGAUACAAACAGGUACAUAAGACAAAUAAGCACCCACCAUCCCUCUCUAUGUGCAUGUGAAUUACAGAGACCCAUUUUACAUAUCUUACACUCUUCUGAAUAUUUGUAAACUUUAGUUAUAAAGUAGCCAAAAGAAAAAAAUACUACUUCAAAAUUCAAUUUAAAAAACGUUAAUUGAAUCUACUAAGAGCUGGGAAUUCAACAGUGGGUAAGAUUUGGAUCUUCCUUUAAGGAACACAUCAUUUAAGGAAAAAGAUGCAUUUCAAGUCAUGAAGCAGGUAUAUUCAGUCUAGUUCUGUUCAGCCAAUGUCCCUUGACUUAGUAAAGUCCUUUCUUGUUCUAAUAUCCAUUUAAAAAUGUACUUUUGGCUUUCCCCUCAUGGCUCAGUGGUUAACAAAUCCGACUAGGAACCAUGAGGUUGCAGGUUCUAUCCCUGGCCUUGCUCAGUGGAUUAAGGAUCUGGUGUUGCCGUGAGCUGUGUUGUAGAGCUCUAAGAAAUGUAACUAAAAUGAAUCAUUAUAAAUUUAGAAAUUGAAAUGGGAUGACUAGGUGUUACAUAGGAAAGACUGUCCACUGCCACUUUCAAUAUGGUGUGCAACUCAGAUUUAUUUGGGGUAAUAUUUGAUAGCUAAGAUAAAAUCAAUAUUGCAUAUAGUAUAAACUACUCACUAUAUUUGUGAACAAAAUGUAGUAAUUCCAUCCUUCAUGUGACAUCUGUCCUUCCCAACUCUUCAUAGAGAUGUAAAAUGUAUAUUAUCCAAAAGGCACUCGCCCCUAAAAGAUAUAUUAAGAUAUUUGAUAUUUUAGACAAUAACAUGUAUAUGCUAUAUUUAACCGUGUGUUUGAAUUGGGUUUAUGGAUGUGGCAGAGCAUUAUUUUUAAUAUAUCAGAACAUUCUGAGCUCUCAAAUAAUUCAGGUCAUUUCUGACAACUCUUGAGUAAAAGAGAUCAUCUUUGUCUUUAUUUGGUUCCAAUCUAGACACUGUCUUCUUCCUGAGGCCUAAAUGGUAUGUGAUUCUUAUAGUAAUAACUGAUGGUUAUUAUUAACAUUGUUCCCUAAUCUGGAAGAGAUGGUAAUAGUGGGUUGUUUUUUAGUCUAACUUAAUAGAAAUGUUCAACUUCACCACUACUUCCACUACAUGUAAAGAGAGAGGGUAGAGUUUUAGAAGAAAUUGUUGAAUGAUCUAUUUAGAAGAGCUUUGCAGUAUUUUGGUUUAUGUCUACAUGGAGUGAAGAAGCUAUAGGGCAACUCU
rnacentral:lncRNA from 1 species